UACGAAGGGGGCUAGCGUUGUUCGGAAUCACUGGGCGUAAAGCGCACGUAGGCGGAUUUUUAAGUCAGGGGUGAAAUCCCGAGGCUCAACCUCGGAACUGCCUUUGAUACUGGAGAUCUUGAGUCCGGAAGAGGUAAGUGGAACUGCGAGUGUAGAGGUGAAAUUCGUAGAUAUUCGCAAGAACACCCGUGGCGAAGGCGGCUCUCUGGGACGGUACUGACGCUGAGACGCGAAAGCGUGGGGAGCGAACAGG
rnacentral:rRNA from 1 species